rnacentral:rRNA from 1 species
UGAGCAAUCUGCCCUCCACAUCGGAAUAACCAUUGGAAACGAUGGCUAAUACCGAAUAUGACUUCGGAUCGCAUGAUCUGAAGUGGAAAGCUCCGGCGGUGAAGGAUGAGCUCGCGGCCUAUCAGCUUGUUGGUGAGGUAAUAGCUCACCAGGGCGAUGACGGGUAGCCGGCCUGAGAGGGUGACCGGCCACACUGGGACUGAGACACCGGCA